rnacentral:rRNA from 1 species
UACAGAGGAGGCAAGCGUUGUUCGGAAUUACUGGGCGUAAAGGGCGCGUAGGCGGCCUGCUAAGUCGAACGUGAAAUCCCCGGGCUCAACCCGGGAACUGCGUCCGAUACUGGCAGGCUUGAAUUCGGGAGAGGGAUGUGGAAUUCCAGGUGUAGCGGUGAAAUGCGUAGAUAUCUGGAGGAACACCGGUGGCGAAGGCGGCAUCCUGGACCGAUAUUGACGCUGAUGCGCGAAAGCCAGGGGAGCAAACGGG